rnacentral:rRNA from 1 species
AGCGUACACGGUGGAUGCCCUGGCAGUCAGAGGCGAUGAAGGACGUGCUAAUCUGCGAUAAGCGUCGGUAAGGUGAUAUGAACCGUUAUAACCGGCGAUUUCCGAAUGGGGAAACCCAGUGUGAUUCGUCACACUAUCAUUAACUGAAUCCAUAGGUUAAUGAGGCGAACCGGGGGAACUGAAACAUCUAAGUACCCCGAGGAAAAGAAAUCAACCGAGAUUCCCCCAGUAGCGGCGAGCGAACGGGGAGCAGCCCAGAGCCUGAAUCAGUGUGUGUGUUAGUGGAAGCGUCUGGAAAGGCGCGCGAUACAGGGUGACAGCCCCGUACACAAAAAUGCACAUGCUGUGAGCUCGAUGAGUAGGGCGGGACACGUGGUAUCCUGUCUGAAUAUGGGGGGACCAUCCUCCAAGGCUAAAUACUCCUGACUGACCGAUAGUGAACCAGUACCGUGAGGGAAAGGCGAAAAGAACCCCGGCGAGGGGAGUGAAAAAGAACCUGAAACCGUGUACGUACAAGCAGUGGGAGCACAGAGCAAUCUGUGUGACUGCGUACCUUUUGUAUAAUGGGUCAGCGACUUAUAUUCUGUAGCAAGGUUAACCGAAUAGGGGAGCCGAAGGGAAACCGAGUCUUAACUGGGCGUUAAGUUGCAGGGUAUAGACCCGAAACCCGGUGAUCUAGCCAUGGGCAGGUUGAAGGUUGGGUAACACUAACUGGAGGACCGAACCGACUAAUGUUGAAAAAUUAGCGGAUGACUUGUGGCUGGGGGUGAAAGGCCAAUCAAACCGGGAGAUAGCUGGUUCUCCCCGAAAGCUAUUUAGGUAGCGCCUCGUGAAUUCAUCUCCGGGGGUAGAGCACUGUUUCGGCAAGGGGGUCAUCCCGACUUACCAACCCGAUGCAAACUGCGAAUACCGGAGAAUGUUAUCACGGGAGACACACGGCGGGUGCUAACGUCCGUCGUGAAGAGGGAAACAACCCAGACCGCCAGCUAAGGUCCCAAAGUCAUGGUUAAGUGGGAAACGAUGUGGGAAGGCCCAGACAGCCAGGAUGUUGGCUUAGAAGCAGCCAUCAUUUAAAGAAAGCGUAAUAGCUCACUGGUCGAGUCGGCCUGCGCGGAAGAUGUAACGGGGCUAAACCAUGCACCGAAGCUGCGGCAGCGACGCUUAUGCGUUGUUGGGUAGGGGAGCGUUCUGUAAGCCUGCGAAGGUGUGCUGUGAGGCAUGCUGGAGGUAUCAGAAGUGCGAAUGCUGACAUAAGUAACGAUAAAGCGGGUGAAAAGCCCGCUCGCCGGAAGACCAAGGGUUCCUGUCCAACGUUAAUCGGGGCAGGGUGAGUCGACCCCUAAGGCGAGGCCGAAAGGCGUAGUCGAUGGGAAACAGGUUAAUAUUCCUGUACUUGGUGUUACUGCGAAGGGGGGACGGAGAAGGCUAUGUUGGCCGGGCGACGGUUGUCCCGGUUUAAGCGUGUAGGCUGGUUUUCCAGGCAAAUCCGGAAAAUCAAGGCUGAGGCGUGAUGACGAGGCACUACGGUGCUGAAGCAACAAAUGCCCUGCUUCCAGGAAAAGCCUCUAAGCAUCAGGUAACAUCAAAUCGUACCCCAAACCGACACAGGUGGUCAGGUAGAGAAUACCAAGGCGCUUGAGAGAACUCGGGUGAAGGAACUAGGCAAAAUGGUGCCGUAACUUCGGGAGAAGGCACGCUGAUAUGUAGGUGAAGCGACUUGCUCGUGGAGCUGAAAUCAGUCGAAGAUACCAGCUGGCUGCAACUGUUUAUUAAAAACACAGCACUGUGCAAACACGAAAGUGGACGUAUACGGUGUGACGCCUGCCCGGUGCCGGAAGGUUAAUUGAUGGGGUUAGCGCAAGCGAAGCUCUUGAUCGAAGCCCCGGUAAACGGCGGCCGUAACUAUAACGGUCCUAAGGUAGCGAAAUUCCUUGUCGGGUAAGUUCCGACCUGCACGAAUGGCGUAAUGAUGGCCAGGCUGUCUCCACCCGAGACUCAGUGAAAUUGAACUCGCUGUGAAGAUGCAGUGUACCCGCGGCAAGACGGAAAGACCCCGUGAACCUUUACUAUAGCUUGACACUGAACAUUGAGCCUUGAUGUGUAGGAUAGGUGGGAGGCUUUGAAGUGUGGACGCCAGUCUGCAUGGAGCCGACCUUGAAAUACCACCCUUUAAUGUUUGAUGUUCUAACGUUGACCCGUAAUCCGGGUUGCGGACAGUGUCUGGUGGGUAGUUUGACUGGGGCGGUCUCCUCCUAAAGAGUAACGGAGGAGCACGAAGGUUGGCUAAUCCUGGUCGGACAUCAGGAGGUUAGUGCAAUGGCAUAAGCCAGCUUGACUGCGAGCGUGACGGCGCGAGCAGGUGCGAAAGCAGGUCAUAGUGAUCCGGUGGUUCUGAAUGGAAGGGCCAUCGCUCAACGGAUAAAAGGUACUCCGGGGAUAACAGGCUGAUACCGCCCAAGAGUUCAUAUCGACGGCGGUGUUUGGCACCUCGAUGUCGGCUCAUCACAUCCUGGGGCUGAAGUAGGUCCCAAGGGUAUGGCUGUUCGCCAUUUAAAGUGGUACGCGAGCUGGGUUUAGAACGUCGUGAGACAGUUCGGUCCCUAUCUGCCGUGGGCGCUGGAGAACUGAGGGGGGCUGCUCCUAGUACGAGAGGACCGGAGUGGACGCAUCACUGGUGUUCGGGUUGUCAUGCCAAUGGCACUGCCCGGUAGCUAAAUGCGGAAGAGAUAAGUGCUGAAAGCAUCUAAGCACGAAACUUGCCCCGAGAUGAGUUCUCCCUGACUCCUUGA